AUGGACUCCCUCACGCCGCCGGCGCCGCCGCAACCGCAGAACACCGAAGAUGAUUGUUUCCCACCAAAGAAUGUAUUGUGUAGGCAUGAUGAAGAGCCACAUCUCCAGAACUAUGAUUGGAUCAGCACAAUGCCAGAUGAUAUUUUAAUUGAAAUUCUUUCCCUAAUGACAAUAAGUGAGGCAGCAAUGACUGGUUUUCUUUCCACCAGAUGGAGGCAUGUCUGGAAAAAAAUCGAUCAUCUCAUCCUUGAUUCCUAUACUUUUGGGAUGCAAGAGUUAGAGAAGUCACGUUACCAUGAAAAUACUCUUUUGUGGAAUGAUGUGGCUACAAAGUUUGUUCACAAAGUAAAUGGGCUUUUGCACAGUCGUUAUGGUAACAAAAUCAAGGAAUUAAUUAUUAGAUUCCCAUUAACCUCAGCCCAUGCUUCUAAUCUGGAUCACUGGAUUGAGUCUGCAAUUGUAGCCUCUACAGAAAAGCUCUUCCUUGACCUGGAUAACAAGUGUUGCAAGGAAGGUUGCACAAUUUGUGUGAAAGGCACGAAGGCUGCUUCAGAGCCAUAUGACUUUCUCUUGGGGCCUAUUUUUAAUGGUAGAGCCGACUCGUUGGACGAAUUGACUCUUUUCAAUUGCAGUAUAGGAACAAUGCCUGCAAAUAUGAGUGGGUUCUCAUAUCUUAAAUCCCUUCUACUCGCCCGUGUGUCAAUUGUUGAUGAAACCGUUUCAAGUAUUAUGUCCAACUGUUGUGCUCUUGAAAUUAUGGUCCUACAAUAUUGCCAUCAAUUGGUUCAUUUGACGGCUUCUCAUGCACGGUUGCAAAUCUUGGUUGUUCAAUUUUGCAAAAGCUUGGUCAGUAUUUGUAUUCGUGCUGACAACCUUGAGUCAUUCGCAUACAUGGGCUACAAGAUCAAUAUUGAGUGCGAACGUGCACAAUUUCUUGAAAUGCUCCAUGUUUAUUUUGUGAACAAGGACGACUGCCCUUUAGACUUCAUAAGUGCAUUUCCUAAGCUUCCCAAGCUAGAAUUUUUGGUAAUCCAGUUUCCUACAUGCUUACAGGUAUAUCGUGUAUUGCAGCAUGCUUCAAGGUUUGCUGGUUUAACAACAAUUAUGUUAGUUCUCAUGAAACCUUGGAAAGAAGGCAUUUCCUCGGUGGCUUAUGUUCUCAAAUCAGCUCCUCUAAUAGAAUAUUUUGGCCUACAUGGUUGUUGCAAGCUUCAUCAAAAUACUCAGUUGAACAUCACAUGGCCCGAGGAUUUAAUACUUGCACGGCUCUACACUAUUAUAAUUGGUGGGUUUAGUGGGGAAUUCGAACUGAUGGAACUCGUGUACUUUCUCCUAAGGAGCACACCCGCGUUGGAUGUAUUCGAAAUCGAUACACGCUCCAUGGAGCCAUGGUUGGCCAGGUCCAACGAAGAUAAGUUGCAAGAUGAGAUGAGACGUCGUUAUGCAAGAGAGAUGGCUUAUGCACACUUGGUUCCCAAGGUCCCAUCCACCGUGAAGUUCCAUAUUAUAUGA
rnacentral:rRNA from 1 species